UUAGAUGUUUCCUCUUUAUGUUCUGCGCAAUAUAAUAUUGAAUACAUUAUCUGACAAUAAGAAGGAACGGUCGUGGCUGAAACGCUUUGAUCAUAUAUAUAUAUGAUUACUUGAGCUAACCUGGAGCUAAACAACAACAUUAUUUGUGGGCUGGAGACAGUUUUGAAAAAAUAUAUAUCAAUACCACAGACAAUCGCCGGCCGUGCUUCAAUUCCAGUUGAAAAUCUUGGUCCAAACCUUUAUUGUUUGAUUUUAACUUUCCAGAGUUGGUUCAAUACUCUACACGAAAAACAGAUGAAGCCCAGCUGUGUUUAGAUGUUUCCUUUGUAUGUUCUGGACAACACUAUGCAAUGUAUUUUUUUAUUUAAGAGAAUAAGGGUAUCGUUUAAGGGAAAUUUCACUGCUCUUUCUAAGAAGUCGAGCGAACCUGGAGCUAAACAACAACAUUAUUUGUGGGCAGGAUCGUUAGCGCGCCGGACAAAAUACUUUCCGGCUCAACGUUCUCUGCAUUUAUCAUCCCAAGUUAAUAACAGUGUCCUCUCAAUAAGUGAUGCAUUUCAUCCUUUUAGGGUCGAUAAAAUAAGUAACAGUCUAGUCAUGUACUGAGGUCGAUGUAAUCGAUUAGCCCCUCCCCACGAUUUUCAGACCUUGUACUUUUAGUUGGGAAGGAGAUUUUUUAAAACAAUAUGUCAAGCAUAUAUUGCAUUCCAACAGACAAGAUUUUUGGCAACGUCCAACACAUCUCUUCUCUCAACGCACAAGCAGACACGCAGGCAGAGAGAGAGAGAGAGAGAGAGAGAGAGAGAGAGAGAGAGAGAGAGAGAGAGAGAGAGAGAGAGAGAGAGAAACGCACACAGACACAUAUUUCAUGAACCAUUGUGGAUUAAUAAUGGCUGCAAUAAUCUCCGAGUCUUUUUAAUUCGAUUGAAAAUUCCAGUAAAGAAUUAUAGUAACGGGUUGUUAUAUUUAACCUUAAGCAACAUCCAUCAAUUUUUCUUUAUACCAAACAUGAAUUCAUCCACUCACUUGCUCUACCUCCCACCCGCCCAUCCACUCACCCACUCACUAACUCACUCACUCACACACUCACUCACUCACUCACUCACUCACUCACUCACUCGCUCAAUCAUUCACUCACUUACUCACUCACUCACUCACUCACUCACUCACUCAUUCACUCAUUCACUCAUUCACUCAUUCGCUCACUCACUCGCUCACUCGCUCGCUCAACCCCUCACUCGCUCACUCAUCCACUCAAUCUCUCGCUCGCUCCCUCGCUCCCUCCCUCACUCAUUCACUCAUUCAUUCAUUCGCUCACUCACUCACUCACUCACUCACUCGCUCACUCGCUCGCUCGCUCACUCCCUCCCUCACUCACUCACUCACUCACUCACUCACUCACUCAUUCACUCACUCACUCACUCACUCACUCACUCACUCACUCAUACCCUUUCUCUGCAUUUAUCAUCCCAAGUUAAUAACAGUGUCCUCUCAAUAAGUGAUCUUUUGCUAAUGUCCAUUCACGCUAUUUGUUGAUCUGUCCAAAAAUACAUCUCCGAAUUGCAAGAGUCCGAUCAAUUCGAUGUCUACAUACAUUCCAGUUUGUCUGUCCCCAGUAAUUCCUGUGUUUCCGGCACUUGUCCAGUAAUUGAUUUCAUCACACGACUGCCAUUGGCUACUUGUUCGCCGUACUGGCAACACGCCAUUUUACUCUUCUGUGGGUGGAGAGAAGACAUCUUUUAAUAUAGCGUUCAAUAAAAGAGAAUAGCCUAAUGUAUGCGUGUUUAAAUAUACACCAACAAAAGUGUGCAUACAUCAUACAUACACACACACACACAUACACAUACAUACACACACAUACAUACACACAUACACACAUGCAUACAUACAUAAGUAUGUGUAUGUACAAAUACGUAUAUGUAAGUUCAUAUAUAUAUAUAUAUAUAUAUAUAUGAAUGUAUGUAUGUAUAUAUAUGUAUAUAUAUAUAUGCAUAUAUAUAUAUAUAUAUAUAUAUAUAUAUAUGUAUUUAUACACACACGUAUUUGUACAUAUACUGUAGAGGUAGGUACGUACAUAUAUGUAUGUAUAUAUGCAUAUGUUUUAUUUUAUUUAUUAAUUUAUUAUAUAUACAUAUAUACAUAUAUAUAUAUAUAUAUACAUAUAUAUAUAUAUAUAUGUAUAUAUAUACAUACAUAUAUAUAUAUAUAUAUAUAUAUGUAUACACACACCAUACACACAUAUAUAUAUCUAUUUACGUGCACAUAAAAAAUAUAUAUACAUGCUGGCAUAUAUAUGUGCAUCCACGCACACACGCAUAAACACACACGCACAGAUACGCACACCCACGUAUAUGUAUCACACACAUACACAAAUACGUACAUACAUAUAGAAAUAUGUAAAACAUCCGACUGUACUGGAGCUCUCAUCAGUAAAUAUCUUCAUCUGAGGAUUGCUUCCGAGUAUGAAACUCCGAGUAAUGAGAUAUAAAAUGAGCUGACCUAAGAUAUACACUUUCAGUUUACCUCAAGUGUUGACGUCUUUUCAAUUUGUUCAUGUAAUUAUAUCAUAAGUAGAAUUCUGAACAAUAUUACCCUGUAACCUUCUGUGUGUGUGAGUGUGUGUGUGUGCGUGUGUGUGUGUGUGUGUGUGUGUGUGUGUGUGAGUGUGUGUGUGCGUGUGUGUGUUUGAUUCUCUGUGGGGAUUAUUUCCGCAGCAAAAGGCAUUAUCACGUCCGAAUACACUCGGACGUGUUAGCAUGUAAAAAAUAUCUUUACACGAAUGCAUACAUACAUACUUACUUAUAAACAUAUAUACACACAUACAGACACACACACACACACACACACACACACAUUUCGAUUGGGUUUUGAGGUAUUCAUUUGUUUUUGAACUAGUGUGUGAGUAAAAUCAAACAUAUGUUUGAAAGCCUUUUAAUGGAAUUUCAAUAAGAGGAAAAUAUUUUUCUUUCUUUCUUUCUUUCUUUCUGGAUCUUGAAGAUACAUUUUUUAAAAGACACAUCAAAACAGAGACAUGUGAACGAGCAUAUCGAAGCCCCGUUUUGCUGACGCAGAUCUGGAAGUAUUCAAAUUCGCUAAGACAUAUAUAAUUACAUACAUACAUACAUACAUACAUACAUACAUACAUACAUACAUACAUACACACAUGCAUACAUACACGCACAGAACAUAUAUGCACACACGUGUGUAUAUUGCCGACAUUCUUAUUCCUACAUAAGCAUGUGUGUGAGCACGUGUGAAUAUAUGUAAACUAUAUAUAUAUAUGUAAACAUAUACAUAUAUAUAUAUAUAUAUAUAUAUAUAUAUAUAUAUAUGUAUGUAUGUAUGUAUGUAUGUAUGCAUGCAUGUAUGUAUGUAUGUAUGUAUGUAUGUAUGUAUGUAUGUAUGUAUGUAUGUAUGCAUGCAUGCAUGUAUGUAUGUCUCUAUGUUUGCAUGUAUGUAUGUAUGUAUGUAUGUAUGUAUGUAUGUAUGUAUGUAUGUAUAUAAUUAUAUAUCUCUUAGGGAAUUUGAAUACUUUGUGUUUUUCCAAUGGCCGGAUAACUGAAGAGAUGGUAGAGUGGAUUUCCACCUCGGCAUCCGAAACUCAGAGUUUUAUCUUGACUACCGAAUAAUUGUCACAUAUUACAUUUACAUAUAUAUAUAUAUAUAUAUAUAUAUAUAUAUACACAUCUGUGUGUGCAUAUCUACAUACACACACACAUGCACAAACACACACACACACACGCACGCACACAUAUAAAAUAGUUUACAUAUAUUCACACGCGCUCACGCACAUGCUUAUGUAGGCAUAAGAAUGUCGGCAUAUGCACACGUGUAUGCAAUAUAUGUUCUGCGCGUGUAUGUAUGUCAGUGUAAACGGGUUUACCUUGGGAAAUUUCCAUAAUAAGACCUGGGAGUAAGUUGCUUCCGAUGCUCUGUGCUGGCAAAACAGUAGCAAAACUAUUAAAAUACCUUAACUUUUCUCUCUAAGAUGCAUCACAUCGUAGCUACGUGCUUGAGUGCGUGUCUAUCAUUUGGUAUUUUUGGGCAAACUUUAGAAAGAACUUCACCUCCACCUCCCAAACACACACACACACGCACUUGUAUAUCUGUGUGUUUCCUCUUUAUUUCUCUUCCGUGUAGUGGUGAAUAUCGGUCGAUCCUUAGACUAUUAUUAUUGAGGUUUUCUAUGAAAUGAGUUUGCUUGCCCUUCAGAUUUUUCUACAUUUCUGGAGGAAAGGAUUCGGUUAGUGUUCCCCUGAAAACCUGCUCAAUGCUCAGCGUAGCCAACUCAAAUAAGUAGAGAGUUGUUAAAGCGUCGGGUAGACUUACUGACGGUAGUGUGAUCUGAGUUCGAAUCAUACCUGCCUAAACUUGACUUUCCGUACUUUCGUGGCCCUUUUAUAAAUUACCUGUAAUAGGAUUGAUUUUUCUUUUUUUUUCGCUCUGUCUGGAAGAAAUCAGGUGAUUUCAUCGGUAGAGAAGGAUGUGCUCCGCUAAGUCUAGGACAAAAUUUAUGCUUUGUCCUGUAGACUUGGCGAACACAUCCCUGACAACGAAGAACUGAAGUGUUUCUACGACUCUAUCAGGAGUUGAGGGCCAAAGGAAAAGAAAAGCAGUAUUAUAAAUACAUUGUAGAAAUACAGCAAUCCCUGGAUUAUUACAGGUAUCAAGUUCCAAACCCUAAGAGAUGCAGAAACGGUACUGUAUUACGUAUUUAUUUUUAUUAUUUUUAUAAUUUGUAUAUAUUCAUUUUAUUAUAAAUGCCAGACAACACCAAGGGGAAUCGAUGUAAGCUUAAAUAAUAUGCGCAAGUAGCUUGCUUACCAACCAUAUGAUUCCAGGUUCAGUCCCACUGCGUGGCACCUUGGGCAAGUGUCUUCUACUAUAACCACGGGCCGACCAAAGCCCUGUGAGUGAAUUUGGUAGACGGAAACUGAAAGAAGCCCGUCGUGUAUAUGUAUAUAUAUAUAUAUAUGUAUAUGUUUGUGUGUCUGUGUUUGUCCCAACAACAUCGCUUGACAACCGAUGCUGGCGGUUCGACAAAACAGACCGAUAGAAUAAGUACUAGGCUUACAAAGAUUAAGUCCUGGGGUCGAUUUGCUCGACUAAAGGCGGUGCUCCAACAUGGCCGCAGUCAAACGAAUGAAACAAAUAAAUAAAUUAAUCAAUAAAUAAACCGCGAUAACUGAACCGCAAUAGGUGAACCGCGAUAUGGCGAGGGAUUACUGUAUAUGCAGGUUUUAUUUUUAUUAUAAAUACUUGUGGUAUACAAUUUAGGAAGGUUUAUGAUAUUCCAUUUGAAUAUUAGUCGACUGUUUGCUACACGGAUCUCACUCGGUUCAAAGUCGAGAUAUUAAUUAUUUUGUUUCCACAAACAGCGAACGAUGUCAAUGACUAGUAACGGGUUUGUCGUGUCCCAGCAAUCCUCAAUUCCGCAUUAUUCUAACUUCUCAAAGACAAUCUAAACUGGUAACCGUUCUACCGUUAGAAGAUUUGGUUGUCUUCGAAUAUUAAGAAAAUUCUAUAAUAUUGUUUCAAAUUUUGACACAGGACCAGCAAUUUUAUCGGGGAAGGGGUAUUAGCCGAUUACACCGAUCACAGUACAUGGCCGAUUCUUUAUCUUAUCGAUCUUGAAAGGAAGAAAGCAAUGUUGUCAUUGGUCGUAUCUGAACUCAGAACGUAAAGAGUCGGAAGAAAUAUCACUAAGAAUUUUAUCCGAUGAGUUAACGAUUCCACUGGUAUGCCACCUUAUAGAAAAUUCGAUAAUAUUGAACACAUGUUUGAUUAUCAGAAAAAGAAAUAUUUUGAAAUAUCAAAGCUGAUUACAGACUACAUAUGCGAGAAAUCUAUUAUACUCUGUAUUACUGUAAAACUUAAUGAAUAUCUUUGAAACACGUGUCGUUACGCAAGCCGUCUCAAUUGUUACAAGAGAUAUGACCAUUUCUUCUUAAUGUUUGGCGGAUGAGAAAUUUGAAUUUGAAAUUAAGAAAUUAGAAAGAAAAGACGCAUAGAAUUCACAUCUCUGAUGUGUUUUGUUAUUGUCGUUGACUAUUUGCUGUAACAAAGUCGUGAAAUGAUAAAUUGAAGUCUUUACUUUAGUUUUUACAUAAAGAUAAUCAAUUUGGCCUCGCAUCGUUUUUCGUUAACCAUAAUAGAUGAGAGAGCGAGAGAGAGAAGGAAAAAAAGAACACAAAAUUGAAUAUUGAUGUUUAACCGAAUAUUUAUUGUAAACCAGUUCUUAAAAUUUCACAUUUAUAUUGGUUUCUAAACUCAACAUUUUACCAACAAUACUAUAUAAUAAAAAUAAAACUAAGUUAUCUCCGACACCAUUGUCCACUCCAAUCCUUUCAUCUCUGUCUUUUACAAACUCAUUGAAUCCCAUUUCUACCUCGAUUUCAGCUCAUACCACCUCAUUUAUGAUAUAUCUGCUAUCUUUGUCUCUACAAUCUUUUUGCCUCCACUGCUCUGAAGCAUUGACCAUUCGGGACCAGAUGGUCUCCUACCACUUACAAAAUGGUUAUACCAUUCAGACAUAGACGCUGCCCAUUAUCGUACCCGCAUGGUUGACCACCCCUUAACCCUUAUAAAUCGUGUCAACCCGAGCACCAAACACCUCUUUCCUCUCACCUACCAUCGAACAAACCUUCCUGUUUAGUCCUCCAUGCAACAGCUUUUCCGUCUCCAUUUAUCUCAUCCCGCCAUAUCUCCCAUACUUUCUCGGAAAGUCUCUGAUCCACACCACUCCCAUUGCAACAUCUCUCCCUUCAUACAAGAUAUCACCUCUCUCCAUAGACUGACCUGUCCGUUCCCCUCAGUGACUUCUUCACUUGUACUACACUCACGCACGCACGCACGCACACAAGCACAGACACACACAUUUACUGCGUAAAAUACCUUCUACGCAGUAAGUGAUAUACUGAAAAAACAGGUCGAUGAUUGACAGAUCGAUUCAGAGGGCUAUUCCUAGAACUUAUCCUUCCACUGAAUUAUACUGCACCCCAUCAAUCCAUUGUCCAGCGUCUUAAUUCUCCUUGGCAUAGUUACCUACAUCUCUCUGUAUGCUGUGUCAUUUUACCUUGGAUACACCGCCUCCAGGUUACACAAAGAACAUCAACUUACUUUCUGUCUACGAUCCUCUCACUCCACUGAUUUAAACAACCGUCUUGCUUUUUACUUGCAAUACAGCUUUGCUCAACUCACUGAAUGACAAUCACUCCCGUGCAUUUCAAACCCCUCUGCUUUUUGCUGAUCCCACACACACACACACACACACACACACAUACGCGCACACAAACACACACACACACACACACACACACGUACACGGCAUCAUAUACCAUACACAACAGCUACACAAUAAAGCACUGAAACCCAUACGUACAUACUCUACAUACACACACACACACUGCUUCACGCCGCUUUACUGACACACACACACCUCCGUUUCUAUGUACAUUAUGUAUAUAUAUAUAUAUAUGCACAUAUAUGUUCUCUAUAUUU
rnacentral:lncRNA from 1 species